rnacentral:rRNA from 1 species
UGUGUCAGCCGCCGCGGUAAUACGUAGGUGGCAAGCGUUGUCCGGAUUUACUGGGCGUAAAGGAUGCGUAGGCGGAUAUUUAAGUGAGAUGUGAAAUUCCCGGGCUUAACUUGGGAGCUGCAUUUCAAACUGGAUAUCUAGAGUGUGGGAGAGGAGAAUGGAAUUCCUAGUGUAGCGGUGAAAUGCGUAGAGAUUAGGAAGAACACCAGUGGCGAAGGCGAUUCUCUGGACCAUAACUGACGCUGAGGCAUGAAAGCGUGGGUAGCAAACAGGAUUAGAUACCCUGGUAGUCCACGCCGUAAACGAUGAGUACUAGGUGUAGGAGGGUCCAACCUUCUGUGCCGCAGUUAACACAAUAAGUACUCCGCCUGGGAAGUACGAUCGCAAGAUUAAAACUCAAAGGAAUUGACGGGGGCCCGCACAAGCAGCGGAGCAUGUGGUUUAAUUCGAAGCAACGCGAAGAACCUUACCUGGACUUGACAUCCCCUGAAUUACUCGUAAUGGAGGAAGCCCUUCGGGGCAGGGAGACAGGUGGUGCAUGGUUGUCGUCAGCUCGUGUCGUGAGAUGUUAGGUUAAGUCCUGCGACGAGCGCAACCCUUAUCAUUAGUUGCUACCAUUAAGUUGAGCACUCUAGUGAGACUGCCCGGGUUAACCGGGAGGAAGGUGGGGAUGACGUCAAAUCAUCAUGCCCCUUAUGUCCAGGGCUACACACGUGCUACAAUGGUGAGUACAAUUAGAUGCAAACCCGCGAGGGGGAGCCAAACUAAAAAACUCAUCCCAGUUCGGAUUGUAGGCUGAAACUCGCCUACAUGAAGCAGGAGUUGCUAGUAAUCGCGAAUCAGAAUGUCGCGGUGAAUACGUUCCCGGGCCUUGUACACACCGCCCGUCACACCAUGAGAGCUGGCAACACCCGAAGUCCGUGAGGUAACCGUAAGGAGCCAGCGGCCGAAGGUGGGGUCAGUGAUUGGGGUGA